GAUGUUGAUCGCUGCUGAACCAUUCGGCAACACUCUAAAGAUAUAUUAUCUCGAUUCUCUUGGAGGGGAACUAGGGAGGAGACAAAUUUUAUUGGAGUUGAUUAAUACGGCGAUUGUGUUAUACUACACUAACAUAAAACAAUCAAUUCCAAGGUCCUUUAUAAAUUUUGAUGCCGCCUACACUUGGAAUAUAAUUAAGGAACAUGGAGGAUUAGAGCAUUAAUCAGGACUAGCUUGACCUUUCUACUCCGAUUGUGUCUACCAGUGGUGAUGACAGUGUGCCUAUUAGUUCCCAAACUAAGGGUAGUAGCUACUCUACACAAUUUAGGAGACCUAGAAGUGGCACAAGAUUAACAGAGUUGGCUCUGAGUUCGAGUAGAGGUGAGAAGAUUCUGAUCCAGUUUGAUGACAAUUAGAAGCCAAUCAGGCCUAAUAAGGACAAAUUUAUCAGUUUUUUAGGCCUUCAAGCUCAAAGCAAGCCAAGUAUAUUGGCAACCACAUCGAAUGAUGUCCUAGAAUGAGUGAAGGAACAUAUAUGGGAAGCUAUCAAUGUCAUAUACAAUGUCCCCACUAGUAUGGACUUUAAGCAUAGGUUGAUGACCUGGGCUUGUGAUUAUUGGAGGAAUUUUAAGACAUCACUAGCUAAGAGAUUUGUGCAUAUUGAGUUGCUAGAAGGACAACUGUGGCCUAAUCCUUAUACCCAAUACAUGUUUCUUGAUGCAGCUACUUUUGAAGAAUUCGUUAGGCUUCGGAUUAUGCCAAAUGCUCUAGUGAAUUAGUUUAUUUUAAUAUAUUAUUUUUUAUAUAUUUUAAUUAUAUAUCAUUAUCUUUAUUAGAUAAUGAAUAUUUUGUAAUUCUAAUUUACAGGAAAGGAGAAGAAAGGCAUAAGAAGUUGGAAGGAAGAAUAAUUGCUCCCAAAUAAAGUCUUUUGGCAGUUUUGUAUUGGCUGAUAAGGAAUUGAUGGACACCAAGAGGAGGAAGAGAGAAGAACAAGCUCAAUCAGGUGCAUGGCGUCCCAUGCUACGGUGCAUGACACAAAGAAGGUCUAGGCGUAUGGCUCUAUGCCACAUGCUGUAGCGCUUGUGUUGCCCGUCGUGGCACAUGGCCCUUAAACUAACCUUAUUUCUCUAUUUUGAUGGCAUGCAAUAGUAUAUAUGAAUGCAUAUGAUUUACAUUUCAUUGUGUAUGGCUUUGAUGUGUUAUGAUUUUGAUGAUAUUGCAAAACAAGUCUUAGA